UACAGAGGGUGCGAGCGUUAAUCGGAAUUACUGGGCGUAAAGCGUGCGUAGACGGUAGCGUAAGUCAGAUGUGAAAGCCCCGGGCUCAACCUGGGAAUUGCAUUUGAGACUGCUCUGCUCGGGUGCGGAAGAGGGAAGCGGGAAUUUCCGGUGUAGCGGUGAAAUGCGUAGAUAUCGGAAGGAACACCAGUGGCGAAGGCGGCGACCUGGACGGACACUGACGCCGAGAGAGAA
rnacentral:rRNA from 1 species